CAAGAGGAGAGGAGGGGAGGAGGGGACAGCCCUGCCAUCUGCUGCAUGGGAGCACCUUCAUCACCACACAUGGCAGCCUAUUCCCUAUUUAGUGCACUAAGUUUGACCAGGAUCCAUGGCUCCGGUCAAAAGUAGUGUACUAUAUAGGGAAUAGGGUAUAUAGGGAAUAGGGUGCCAUUUGGGAUGUUACCCAGGACUAACCAACACCAACCCCCUGGUCCUUGCUGUCCUGCAUUCUUCGCACACAUGCUGCAUAGGAGGAAGCUGCCUAGGCCCUAAGAUCAGCUGGCCUGGCUGAGAGGGGGAUGCUGCCUAGGCCCUAAGAUCAGCUAGCCUGGCUGAGAGGGGGAAGCUGCCUAGGCCCUAAGAUCAGCUGGCCUGGCUGAGAGAGGAUGCUGCCUAGGCCCUAGGAUCAGCUGGCCUGGCUGAUAGAGGAUGCUGCCUAGGCCCUAGGAUCAGCUGGCCUGGCUGAGAGAGGAUGCUGCCUAGGCCCUAGGAUCAGCUGGCCUGGCUGAGAGGGGGAUGGAUCAGCUGGCCUGGCUGAUAGAGGAUGGCUAGCGGCUACAUGCUGACAAAGGAACCCUCAGCCGUCAACUAAUCGUCAAGCCCUUGACUAGAUGACUCAGAGAGCAGGUGGUGGAGACAUUCACCAUGUCUCGUCAACAUAGAGCUCCUUGGUUAAAGAAGGGACUUGAGCUGUCCAGAGGAGAAUUCAUUGAGAACAUUUGCCAUGUGAUGCAAACAAUUCAUAAUAAUGCUUUUUUUAAAUAUAUUUUUUUGCGUGCAUCACAAUGAUAUUUUUGUAAAUUCAUUGACCAUCUUUGAGUAUAUAAAAACUAUUUCAAACACAAUCUUAUAAACGCUAGAUACUACAUCACACUUUUAUAGACACUAUAUACUAAUUCACUCUGUUAUGGACACUAGAUACUAAAUCACACUGUUAUGGACACUAGAUACUAAAUCCCACUGUUAUGGACACUAGAUACUAAAUCCCACUGUUAUGGACACUAGAUACUAAAUCACACUGUUAUCACACUGUUAUGGACACUAGAUACUAAAUCACACUGUUAUGGACACUAGAUACUAAAUCCCACUGUUAUGGACACUAGAUACUAAAUCCCACUGUUAUGGACACUAGAUACUAAAUCACACUGUUAUCACACUGUUAUGGACACUAGAUACUAAAUCACACUGUUAAGCACACUAGAUACUAAAUCCCACUGUUAUGGACACUAGAUACUAAAUCCCACUGUUAUGGACACUAGAUACUAAAUCACACUGUUAUCACACUGUUAUGGACACUAGAUACUAAGUCACUCUGUUAUGGACACUAUAUACUAAAUCCCACUGUUAUGGACACUAGAUACUAAAUCACACUGUUAUGGACACUAGAUACUAAAUCCCACUGUUAUGGACACUAGAUACUAAAUCACACUGUUAUCACACUGUUAUGGACACUAGAUACUAAGUCACUCUGUUAUGGACACUAUAUACUAAAUCCCACUGUUAUGGACACUAGAUACUAAGUCACUCUGUUAUGGACACUAUAUACUAAGUCACUCUGUUAUGGACACUAUAUACUAAAUCACUCUGUUAUGGACACUAGAUACUAAAUCCCACUGUUAUCACACUGUUAUGGACACUAGAUACUAAAUCCCACUGUUAUCACACUGUUAUGGACACUAGAUACUAAAUCCCACUGUUAUGGACACUAGAUACUAAAUCACACUGUUAUCAGACUGUUAUGGACACUAGAUACUAAAUCCCACUGUUAUCACACUGUUAUGGACACUAGAUACUAAAUCCCACUGUUAUGGACACUAGAUACUAAAUCCCACUGUUGUCACAGUGUUAUGGACACAAGAUACUAAAUCACACUGUUAUCACACUGUUAUGGACACUAGAUACUAAAUCCCACUGUUAUCACACUGUUAUGGACACUAGAUACUAAAUCCCACUGUUAUGGACACAAGAUACUAAAUCCCACUGUUAUCACACUGUUAUGGACACUAGAUACUAAAUCCCACUGUUAUCACACUGUUAUGGACACUAGAUACUAAAUCCCACUGUUAUGGACACAAGAUACUAAAUCCCACUGUUAUCACACUGUUAUGGACACUAGAUACUAAAUCCCACUCCAAUAGCAUUCUACCAUAUGGCAUGUUGAAAAGCUCAGCUUCAUGCACAUGCAUCUAAAAAGCUAUCUGUCUCUCCAUCUAACCCCCAUCCAUCCACCCAGCCAAGCCCAGAGUGCUAGGAGCAGAUGGCUGGAUAGAGGCAUCUCUUCCUGUGUAGAUAAAGACAUCGAUCUCCCUGGGCCAUGCUGACUGGAUCUGCUCAUCAGCCAUUCAAAUGAGAUGGAUGCUUCUCUCUGCCUGCAGCCUAGUGACAACAAGAGGGCAGGUGGUGCAGGAAGGGGGGUUAUACCUCACAACCCCUUGUCAAUAGAAAGAG
ensembl:lncRNA